rnacentral:rRNA from 1 species
AUUGAACGCUGGCGGCAGGCCUAACACAUGCAAGUCGAACGAGUGGCGGACGGGUGAGUAAUGACCGGGAAACUGCCUGAUGGAGGGGGAUAACUACUGGAAACGGUAGCUAAUACCGCAUACCAUCAGAUGUGCCCAGAUGGGAUUAGCUUGUUGGGGGGGUAACGGCUCACCAAGGCGACGAUCCCUAGCUGGUCUGUGAGGGUGAUCAGCCACACUGGGACGGAGACACGGUCCAGACUCCUACGUGAGGCAGCAGUGGGGAAUAUUGGGCAAUGGUCGAAAGCCUGAUCCAGCCAUGCCGCGUGUGUGAAGAAGGUCUUCGGAUUGUAAAGCACUUUUAGUUGGGAGGCGUUACCAACAGAGUAAGCACCGGCUAACUUCGUGCCAGCAGCCGCGGUAAUAC